rnacentral:rRNA from 1 species
UACAGAGGUGGCAAGCGUUGUUCGGAAUUACUGGGCGUAAAGGGCGCGUAGGCGGCCCGUCAAGUCCCGUGUGAAAGCCCCCGGCUCAACCGGGGAACUGCACGGGAAACUAGCAGGCUUGAGUUCGGGAGAGGGAAGCGGAAUUUCGGGUGUAGCGGUGAAAUGCGCAGAUAUCCGAAGGAACACCGGUGGCGAAGGCGGCUUCCUGGACAGAAACUGACGCUGAGGCGCGAAAGCUAGGGGAGCAAACGGG